UCGGGAAUAUUGCACAAUGGGGGGAACCCUGAUGCAGUGACGCCGCGUAUAGGAAGAAGGUUUUCGGAUUGUAAACUAUUGUCGACAGGGAAGAAGAAAGAGACGGUACCUGUGGAGGAAGCCCCGGCUAACUACGUGCCAGCAGCCGCGGUAAUACGUAGGGGGCGAGCGUUGUCCGGAUUUAUUGGGUGUAAAGGGUGCGUAGACGGAUAAUUAAGUUGGUUGUGAAAGCCCCGGGCUCAACUUGGGAAGUGCAACCAAAACUGAUAAUCUUGAGUGUAGGAGAGGAAAGUGGAAUUCCUAGUGUAGCGGUGAAAUGCGUAGAGAUUAGGAGGAACACCAGUGGCGAAGGCGACUUUCUGGACUAUAACUGACGUUGAGGCACGAAAGUGUGGGGAGCAAACAGG
rnacentral:rRNA from 1 species